rnacentral:rRNA from 1 species
UACGUAGGUGGCAAGCGUUGUCCGGAUUUAUUGGGUUUAAAGGGUGCGUAGGCGGCUUUGUAAGUCAGUGGUGAAAUAUGGCAGCUCAACUGUCAAGGUGCCAUUGAUACUGCGGAGCUUGAGUACAGAUGAGGUAGGCGGAAUUGACGGUGUAGCGGUGAAAUGCGUAGAGAUCGGAAAGAACACCAACGGCGAAAGCACUCUGCUGGGCCGACACUGACACUGAGAGACGAAAGCUAGGGGAGCGAAUGGG